GACGAACGCUGGCGGCGUGCUUAACACAUGCAAGUCGAACGGUAAGGCUCCAGCUUGCUGGGGUACACGAGUGGCGAACGGGUGAGUAACACGUGGGUGACCUGCCCUGCACUUCGGGAUAAGCCUGGGAAACUGGGUCUAAUACCGGAUAGGACCGCACCGUGAGGGUGUGGUGGAAAGUUUUUUCGGUGUGGGAUGGGCCCGCGGCCUAUCAGCUUGUUGGUGGGGUAAUGGCCUACCAAGGCGGCGACGGGUAGCCGGCCUGAGAGGGUGGACGGCCACAUUGGGACUGAGACACGGCCCAGACUCCUACGGGAGGCAGCAGUGGGGAAUAUUGCACAAUGGGCGGAAGCCUGAUGCAGCGACGCCGCGUGGGGGAUGACGGCCUUCGGGUUGUAAACUCCUUUCACCAUCGACGAAGGGUUUCUGACGGUAGAUGGAGAAGAAGCACCGGCUAACUACGUGCCAGCAGCCGCGGUAAUACGUAGGGUGCGAGCGUUGUCCGGAAUUACUGGGCGUAAAGAGCUCGUAGGUGGUUUGUCGCGUCGUCUGUGAAAUUCCGGGGCUUAACUCCGGGCGUGCAGGCGAUACGGGCAUAACUUGAGUACUGUAGGGGAGACUGGAAUUCCUGGUGUAGCGGUGAAAUGCGCAGAUAUCAGGAGGAACACCGGUGGCGAAGGCGGGUCUCUGGGCAGUAACUGACGCUGAGGAGCGAAAGCAUGGGGAGCGAACAGGAUUAGAUACCCUGGUAGUCCAUGCCGUAAACGGUGGGCGCUAGGUGUGGGUUUCCUUCCACGGGAUCCGUGCCGUAGCUAACGCAUUAAGCGCUCCGCCUGGGGAGUACGGCCGCAAGGCUAAAACUCAAAGGAAUUGACGGGGGCCCGCACAAGCGGCGGAGCAUGUGGAUUAAUUCGAUGCAACGCGAAGAACCUUACCUGGGCUUGACAUAUACAGGAUCGCGCCAGAGAUGGUGUUUCCCUUGUGGCUUGUAUACAGGUGGUGCAUGGUUGUCGUCAGCUCGUGUCGUGAGAUGUUGGGUUAAGUCCCGCAACGAGCGCAACCCUUGUCUUAUGUUGCCAGCACGUUGUGGUGGGGACUCGUAAGAAACUGCCGGGGUUAACUCGGAGGAAGGUGGGGAUGACGUCAAAUCAUCAUGCCCCUUAUGUCCAGGGCUUCACACAUGCUACAAUGGUCGGUACAGUGGGUUGCCAGUCCGUGAGGGCGAGCUAAUCCCGCAAAGCCGGUCUCAGUUCGGAUCGGGGUCUGCAACUCGACCCCGUGAAGUCGGAGUCGCUAGUAAUCGCAGAUCAGCAACGCUGCGGUGAAUACGUUCCCGGGCCU
rnacentral:rRNA from 1 species